CAAAUGUCAUAACCAUUCCGUGUCCUUUAA
rnacentral:piRNA from 1 species